rnacentral:rRNA from 5 species
GACCCUAUAGAGUUUAAUAUUUUAUUAAUAAAUUAUUUUUUAGAAUUUAAUAUUAAUUUAUUAAUUGAAUAUUUGAUUGGGGUGAUUGAAAAAUUUAAGUAACUUUUUUUAUAUUUAAACAUUAAUUUAUGAUUGUUUGAUCCAUUAUUUAUGAUUAUAAGAUUAAAUUACCUUAGGGAUAACAGCGUAAUUUUUUUUAAGAGUUCAAAUCGAAAAAAAAGAUUGCGACCUCGAUGUUGGAUUAAAAUUUAUUUUUGGUGUAGAAGCUAAAUUUAUUGGGUCUGUUCGACCUUUAAAAUUUUACAUGAUCUGA